UUAAAUUAUGAGUCUUAGCACUAACCAUACAGUAUAUAAGUGUGCCAGUUCAUACAGCGAACAUGUCUCAAACGAACUUUCUGGAUUAGAUCCGAGGGUAAUCGGCUCUGGCAUUCGUAUUCAUGGGCCGCCGCAUCAUCAUGGGCCAGCCAGCCCGUUUUGCAUGUGUUUGUUCUCACAAAAACAUGUGAUUGUAUCUUUUUUUUGUUUUUGUUGUUGGCGAGAACAUUACCGUGUGCUUAAGCACGUCUAAUCCAGUUGCUCUAACACCCACGAUAUAGUAUAUAAGCCACUGGAUUCUCACAGAGGUUAUCAGAUCUUUUUGUCGAUGCUCUUUCUUGAUAUCUAGGUAUUGAUGCUCUUAGGACUUUUUGCUUCAGUCCACUUUCUGUAUUACGUCUUGAAACUCCUGAGUAGGACUUCUUAUUCCUCGUUGAUAAUUCUUCCAUCGCUUGCUUGGCGAUCUUAAAGAAUUCCUUGGGGUUUUUAAUUUGGAGAGAUAUGUAGGUCCCGGAUCAAUCAGAGUGUGUUUAUCUUAUUUUUUGAUCUCGUGGGUGAAGAAGAUGCGUGGUAAGCGUCCUGUAUUUUUUUUGGAUAGAGUCUCUAGGGAAGUCUAUAUAUCUUUCGUGUAUUCGUCGUCUUCGCCUGACAGGCUGCCAAAUAUGGCCCGCGUUGCCGCUUUCUCGCUUGAGAAUCUUUUGCAGCACUCUCGGUCGAGACUUUCCUUUUGGUGGCCAGCAUUUCCGCUACCUUAUUGGCGGAUCUGCCGUUUAUUUUAUUUAUUUAUUUAAGUCAAGUCUAAGGCUAAGUCGACGAUGGCGUCCGUGCUGCCUAACUUGCAAUCAAAAAUUUUCAUUUUAGUAUAUUAGGUAGAUUAGAUUUGUGGUGAAAGGGGAUGUGUGUAAAACCCAGAAGGAAGCGUUUCCAACCCCGUAAAGUAUAUAUAUUCUUGACCAGCAUCAAGAUAUAGCAACGUCUGCCUGUCCGCCUGCCCGGCCGUCCAUCCCGAUGACCAUUAGAUCUCAGGACUACAAGAGCAACCAAAUUUUAUAUCCAGACUCCUGUCAUUCUAAACUAUUAUACGUGUAUAUAAGAGAAAACAAAGAACGUGGAAUCGUAAAGAACAACCUUAUCUACCAUAUUGGGCUUUUGCAAGAAAUUAGAAAAUUGGUGCCUGCGGCACUCUUCUUUUAACAGAAAAAUAAAUCAAGUCGUUGUUUCUUUGGAUCUGUGGGCCAAUAUGUAGGCUUAAUCGGGGAAAAAAAGUAUAGCUUGUGGGAUCAUGAUGUGAUUAUAGCAUAAUAUAGUGUAACGAACCUAAAAAGGUUCGAUACAAUCCUUCCACCGAAGUAUUAUAUGCAUAAAACCGGCUACUAAAUUACAGCGCCCCGCCAAACGUAAAUUGAUUGCAUGUAUUAUAUACCACACGAACACCGCCCUUCCACACAUAACUACUCGACACCCGACGAACGCCAACACCAGAAGCGAAACCGGGUCAAACCUCAAUCGCCAAACUGGCAAAAAGCAAGCCCUAAGCGGAAAUGCAUUUUCGUGACCUCCGCUGACACAGCAACGACAGGCAUAUAUAUAGGUGCCAGCCAGAACCAGAAGAGCGGCUUGCGCAGAAACCCGGCCUCGAGUGCAGACGUUGUACAAAAAACCAUCGUACUAAUCUAUGAAUUAAAAAGUGCUGAAAUAUCCGUAAUAAAGUGGCUAAUGAUCAGAACAAUA